rnacentral:rRNA from 1 species
UAGCGGCGGACGGGUGAGUAACACGUGGGUAACCUACCUAUAAGACUGGGAUAACUUCGGGAAACCGGAGCUAAUACCGGAUAACAUUUAGAACCGCAUGGUUCUAAAGUGAAAGAUGGUUUUGCUAUCACUUAUAGAUGGACCCGCGCCGUAUUAGCUAGUUGGUAAGGUAACGGCUUACCAAGGCGACGAUACGUAGCCGACCUGAGAGGGUGAUCGGCCACACUGGAACUGAGACACGGUCCAG